rnacentral:rRNA from 3 species
GACAUCAGGAGGUUAGUGCAAUGGCAUAAGCCAGCUUGACUGCGAGCGUGACGGCGCGAGCAGGUGCGAAAGCAGGUCAUAGUGAUCCGGUGGUUCUGAAUGGAAGGGCCAUCGCUCAACGGAUAAAAGGUACUCCGGGGAUAACAGGCUGAUACCGCCCAAGAGUUCAUAUCGACGGCGGUGUUUGGCACCUCGAUGUCGGCUCAUCACAUCCUGGGGCUGAAGUAGGUCCCAAGGGUAUGGCUGUUCGCCAUUUAAAGUGGUACGCGAGCUGGGUUUAGAACGUCGUGAGACAGUUCGGUCCCUAUCUGCCGUGGGCGCUGGAGAACUGAGGGGGGCUGCUCCUAGUACGAGAGGACCGGAGUGGACGCAUCACUGGUGUUCGGGUUGUCAUGCCAAUGGCACUGCCCGGUAGCUAAAUGCGGAAGAGAUAAGUGCUGAAAGCAUCUAAGCACGAAACUUGCCCCGAGAUGAGUUCUCCCUGAGACUUAGAGUCUCCUGAAGGAACGUUGAAGACGACGACGUUGAUAGGCCGGGUGUGUAAGCGCAGCGAUGCGUUGAGCUAACCGGUACUAAUGAACCGUGAGGCUUAACCUU